rnacentral:rRNA from 1 species
AUUGAACGCUGGCGGCAGGCCUAACACAUGCAAGUCGAACGGUAACAGGGAUCAGCUUGCUGAUUCGCUGACGAGUGGCGGACGGGUGAGUAAUGUCUGGGAAACUGCCUGAUGGAGGGGGAUAACUACUGGAAACGGUAGCUAAUACCGCAUAACGUCGCAAGACCAAAGAGGGGGACCUUCGGGCCUCUUGCCAUCGGAUGUGCCCAGAUGGGAUUAGCUAGUAGGUGGGGUAACGGCUCACCUAGGCGACGAUCCCUAGCUGGUCUGAGAGGAUGACCAGCCACACUGGAACUGAGACACGGUCCAGACUCCUACGGGAGGCAGCAGUGGGGAAUAUUGCACAAUGGGCGCAAACCUGAUGCAGCCAUGCCGCGUGUAUGAAGAAGGCCUUCGGGUUGUAAAGUACUUUCAGCGGGGAGGAAGGGAGUAAAGUUAAUACCUUUGCUCAUUGACGUUACCCGCAGAAGAAGCACCGGCUAACUCCGUG